rnacentral:rRNA from 1 species
AUGGCUAGUGCACAAGGAAAGCAGCAGCGCACCACCUCGGGUGGUUCCAAGUCGCGGCCAUCACAGGACGGCUCCCAGUCGCUGCCUCCGGAGGAGCGGCGAGGGCGCAGCCAGUCCAGGCACGGCCAUCGCGAUGAGGUCGUGGUUAGGGAGAUCGUGCGCGAGACCGCAAUCAACGGUAGCGUACCCAUCACCUUCCCGAUGCUCACGCGCUCGAACUACAGCGAGUGGGCGUUGAUCAUGGAGUGCAACCUCCAUGCGGCGAGCCUCUGGGUUCCCAUGGAGGACGACCUGGUCGAGAGAAAGGAGGACAGGAAAGCCGUGGCGGCACUCGUGCGCGCCAUGCCGCCGGAGAUGCACGGCAUGCUCGCGGCGAAGGCAAGCGCCAACGAGGCGUGGGAAGCCAUCUGUACCCAGCGCCUCGGCAGCAACCGCGUGCGUGAGGCGAACGCACAGAAGCUGCGGGCGGACUUCGAGAACAUCGCCUUCAAGGAGGGCGAGCUCGUCGAUGACUUCGCCAUGCGGAUCUCCAGUCUUGCGUCACAGAUCCGCGCGCUCGGCGAAACCAUGGACGACGCGAGAGUCGUGAGGAAAUUUCUCCAUGUCGUGCCACCUCGCUUUGCUCAGGUAGCGGUCUCCAUCGAGACUUUGCUUGACCUGAGCGAGCUCUCCAUCGAGGAGCUCACGGGCCGGUUGCGGGUGGUUGAGGACCGCCUUGACGACGGUCGUGAGAGCUUCGGCGGUGGACAACUCCUAUUCUCGAAGAACUGGGAGGCGAGGAAGCGUCAAGGACGUGGUGGCGGUGCCCCGAGUAGUGGAGGCGGCACCAGCAGAGGCGGUGGUCGCACCCAGGGCGGAGCUGGACGAGGUGCCGGCAACGACGACCGGGACAAGUGCCGAUAUUGCAUCAUCAAGGGCCAUUGGGCCCGUGAGUGCCGCAAGAGGAUGGCUGACGAGGAUGCCGCAGCCGCGGCAAAUCUCGUGCAGGCUGCAGAGGACGGUGGGCCAACAAUGAUGAUGGCUUGCGUCGAGACCAUGCAGGAGGGCGCAACGCCUCCAGAGAGCAUGGUCCCGACAAGCAUCGAAGCCGUGCAGGAGGGCGCAACACCUCCGUCGACCACGGUGCCGGCAACCGUCAAGUCCGUGCGGGAGGCAUGGAGCUCUUCAAAUAAUCCCCUCCCGACAUCGGUAGUGCUCUCCCCGACAACAGCGUUCUCGGGGGCCUACGACUGGGAGGAGAUGAAGACCCAGGUGUGGGGGAGCCACACCCCGGAAACCACGUCCCUUGUGACGCUGGUCAAGCCCGUGCAAGUUGGCACGGCAAUCGCGGCCCCGACAUCCUCAGGACCCGACAAGCCCGUUCAAGUUGGCAUGGCAAAGGCGUCGCCGACAUCCUCGGGACCCAACAAGCCCGUGCCAGGAGGCACGUCAACGACGCAUAUGGUGGGCCACGUCCCAACCAUGAUGCUGGCGACCAGUGAGCCCGUGCAAGAGGCACGACAUUCUCAGGUCGGCCACACCCCGACAACCAGGCUCUUGGGGUUCUGCAAGCCCGUGUGGGCAACACGACACUCUUCGACAUGCCUCAACUGGGGGGCAAUGAAGAGACGGUCAUGGGGCGGCCAGGCCUCGACCGUGACUCCGGCAACCAUUGAGGUCGUGCAGGAGGCGCGACGCUCUCUAGUCGGCCAUGCCGUGACCCCGACGUGCUCAGGGUCCAUCGAGUCCUUGCAGGAGGCACGGCACUCUCUGGUCGGGCAUGCCCCAACCAUGUCGGUGGCGACUGCCGAGACCAUGCAGGAGGCACAUUGCUCUAUGGUCGGCCAUGCCGCAGCCCCGACGCGCUCGGGGUUCAUCGAGUCCAUGCGGGAGGCACGACUCAUAGCUGUUGGGGGAGACCCGACAAGCAAGUUUGUUGGGAAGAGCGACAAGGAGUCCGCUACCUUGGGAGAAGCCACUCCUGGUAGUGCGGUGUCCGACAAGUCAUCCCUGGGAAGGGAGUUCCCGGGUAGCAUGACGUCUGACACGACGACCCCGGGAAGGGAGUUCCCGGGCAGUGUGACGUCAGGAACUACGACCCCAGCAACACUGACGCCCAAGAGCAAGGUGGUUCUUGGGCAGUUUGUGUCCCCGCCUACAGCGCGGUCGGACCUGUUCGACGCCAACAACGUUGGCGAUCCACACAGCGACUUGGAGGUGCGCGAACUCGGUGCUGACCGCAAGGACCCCAUCUUCGGGGACAUCGCUGGUAAAAUCUUCCUCACCUUCAUUCCCCUCCUUCUAUCCCUCUUAAUUUCUAAGUGA